AGUGAACGCUGGCGGUAGGCCUAACACAUGCAAGUCGAACGGCAGCACAGUAAGAGCUUGCUCUUACGGGUGGCGAGUGGCGGACGGGUGAGGAGUACAUCGGAAUCUACUUUUUCGUGGGGGAUAACGUAGGGAAACUUACGCUAAUACCGCAUACGACCUACGGGCGAAAGCAGGGGAUCUUCGGACCUUGCGCGAUUGAAUGAGCCGAUGUCGGAUUAGCUAGUUGGCGGGGUAAAGGCCCACCAAGGCGACGAUCCGUAGCUGGUCUGAGAGGAUGAUCAGCCACACUGGAACUGAGACACGGUCCAGACUCCUACGGGAGGCAGCAGUGGGGAAUAUUGGACAAUGGGCGCAAGCCUGAUCCAGCCAUACCGCGUGGGUGAAGAAGGCCUUCGGGUUGUAAAGCCCUUUUGUUGGGAAAGAAAAGCAGCAGGUUAAUACCCCGCUGUUCUGACGGUACCAAAAGAAUAAGCACCGGCUAACUUCGUG
rnacentral:rRNA from 1 species